GCCUUCGUGGUUUAAUGGUUAGCACUCUCGGCGCGUAUUCGAGAGAUCAGUGGUUCGAGUCCCGGCGAGGGCA
rnacentral:tRNA from 1 species